GUAAAAACGUGUUUCUCAAUUCAUUGACAACUAUAUUAAGGGCAAAUGGGUCUUUUGGAAGUGGAUGGCCCAAGUGGCAACCCCCAAUUGGACAGUCGAGCUUCACGCGAGUUGUGCUUCUUUGAAACACAUCCUGGCCGUCCAUAACAGAUCUAUGGUUGAAAUGCAAUCUGAUUUUGAAUUGUGUUUAUCAAGGGAUGGUCCAUUGGCUUUUCAAGAAGACACGUUUUUUACUUCAAAGUUCUCUCUCUCUAGGCUUUGAGUUCUCUUCGAGAAAACUUCAUCUCCUUCUUCUUUUGGGUUUUUGAUUCUUGUAGUUUUUCAUAGAAUCGUUGUAUAUUUAGAAGUGUGACGUGAAAGCCUUCCUGCUACAGUAACUUUGGCCGUUUGUUGUGUCUGGUUUUGGUCGGCAGUUUGAGUGUUUGUGCUUUGGUUGAUUAAGGGUUGAUUUGUGUGAGAUCCUUUGGAUCAAUGAUCAAACCCGGUGUCUGUGGUUUUUUCAUUGUUGUCACUGUCUCUUGAAGGGUUACUUUGCACAUAGUGAACGGGCUUGCCUCUGAGCCCCCCAGAUUAGGCAUUUGGCCGAACUGGGUGAUCAAGAUUUGAUGUUCUUUACUGUUUUUUGUUUGAUUGAUUGGCCACUUUCACACAACUACACAAAAGAACGUAAAAUUCCUAACA
rnacentral:lncRNA from 1 species